GGUGUUCAUAAGUUACUGUAAUUUGCUUGUGUGUUUUGGAUCAUUGUCCUGCUGUAGAACCCAAGUGGGCUUCAGUUUGAGAUCACAAAAUGAUGGGUGAAUAUUCACCACCAGCCUUUUCUUGUAAAGAGCAGAAUUCAUGGUUCUGCGUUUAACAGUCAUCCCUGAACUUCUCUCCUCCAAACUUCUCCGCUCAGCGUCUCGCCUGGAAUUUCUCAGUGGAUCGACAACUUCCUCACGGGCAAGGUGAGGCUUUUCGCUAUGAUGCUGCACGCAAAUGGAAUAAGUUGCCAACAGAGGGGUGGCACAGUGGAGCAGCUGUAAAGCGUUGGCCGCACAGUUCUGAGGUCCUGGGUUCGGUCCUGACCCUGCUUGUUUGGAGUUUUUUCUCCCUGUGCCUAGAUGGGUUUUCUCCGGUUUCCUCCCACAUCCCCAAAACAUGCAACAUUAAUUGGACACUCUAAAUUGCUCCGAGGUGUGAUUGUGAGUGUGGCUGUUUGUCUCAAUGUGCCCUGCGACUGGCUGGCAACCAGUUCAGGGUGUACCCUGCCUCCUGCCCGUUGACAGCUGGGAUAGGCACCAGCCCUCCCGCGACCCUCAUGAGGAUAAGCAGCUGAGGAAAUGGAUGGAUGGAUGUUGUUUUCAGGAAAACAAGGGAACCAGCUCAAGAGGAAGAGCCCUCGCUUAGCAGGUGAGUGGGAGUAGGUUUGAUACCCACAUUUGACUUUGAGUUGUGUGCUGGAGUUUCCUUUUUGAGUCAGUUCACUUCUUUUGUUGUUGUUUUGGGGGGAAAUGUGGGAAUUCGCUCAGGUAGUGGAGCGCUCACUUCGCAUGAGGUGGUGAGGUCAAUGCCCACAUUCUCCAUUUCCCUUUCCUUUGUCUGUUGAAUUCGUUUUGAAUUAAUUUGGUAAUUUUCUUUUCUUGUUGUAUUCUUGGCAAAACAGGGAAAUUUGCUUGCAGAGCACAUGAGAUGGAGUGGGAUUUGUUCCUGCAAUCUCCUUUUCAACUGUCUGCUGAGGUUUCUUCCACUUUUUGAAGAAGACCUCUCCCAGUUUCAAAAUAAAUAUUCCACACAUUCAGUAUUCUAUUAUGUACUGUUUGUGGUUGAGUCAAGGAUCCCUGGACAAAUUUUACAUACAGUAGAUUUACAUCAGAGUUCAGAUGUCCGAAAUGUCUCUGAGCCCUGUGCACAAGAAAAAGACAAAAAACAGGCUUUAAACUACAUACAAUUAUUUUCAGUCUCUUGAAGAAAACAUCUUCAUUACUGGCUGACAAAUCUCCUUCGUGUUGACUUUCACUUGACCAACAAACCCGUUCUUGUUUGGGUAAGUUGCCACAAUUCUUGCAAGUGGCCAAGAAUUUCUGGGUGAUGUAUCAACCAUAACAAGCACCACAUCGCCAACACAAAGAUUUCUUCCAGGCGUAGACCAUCCUUGACAUUCUUGAAGCUGUGUGAGGUAUUCUUUACACCAACGUUUCCAGAAGACAUCAGCCAGAUACUGUACUUGCUUCCAUCUGCGGUUCGCAUUUUGAUCGUCCUUACAGAACAGUCUUGGUGGCAACUCUGGCUUGACCUUGAGCAACAGCAAAUGAUGAAGUGUCAUCUCUCACCUUCAUAGCUCGGCCUUUCACCAUGCAAUAUCUACCCAGUCAAUAAAUAAUGUCAUUUGCA